GACGAACGCUGGCGGCGUGCUUAACACAUGCAAGUCGAACGGAAAGGCCCUGCUUUUGUGGGGUGCUCGAGUGGCGAACGGGUGAGUAACACGUGAGUAACCUGCCCUUGACUUUGGGAUAACUUCAGGAAACUGGGGCUAAUACCGGAUAGGAGCUCCUGCUGCAUGGUGGGGGUUGGAAAGUUUCGGCGGUUGGGGAUGGACUCGCGGCUUAUCAGCUUGUUGGUGGGGUAGUGGCUUACCAAGGCUUUGACGGGUAGCCGGCCUGAGAGGGUGACCGGCCACAUUGGGACUGGGAUACGGCCCAGACUCCUACGGGAGGCAGCAGUGGGGAAUAUUGUACAAUGGGCGGAAGCAUGAUGCAGCAACGCCGCGUGCGGGAUGACGGCCUUCGGGUUGUAAACCGCUUUCGCCUGUGACGAAGCGUGAGUGACGGUAAUGGGUAAAGAAGCACCGGCUAACUACGUG
rnacentral:rRNA from 1 species